UCGGGAAUUUUGGGCAAUGGGCGAAAGCCUGACCCAGCAACGCCGCGUGAAGGAUGAAGUAUUUCGGUAUGUAAACUUCGAAAGAAUAGGAAGAAUAAAUGACGGUACUAUUUAUAAGGUCCGGCUAACUACGUGCCAGCAGCCGCGGUAAUACGUAGGGACCAAGCGUUGUUCGGAUUUACUGGGCGUAAAGGGCGCGUAGGCGGCGUGGUAAGUCAUCUGUGAAAUCUCCGAGCUUAACUCGGAACGGUCAGGUGAUACUGCUGUGCUAGAGUACAGAAAGGGCAAUCGGAAUUCUUGGUGUAGCGGUGAAAUGCGUAGAUAUCAAGAGGAACACCUGAGGCGAAGGCGGGUUGCUAGGCUGAUACUGACGCUGAGGCGCGAAAGCUAGGGUAGCAAACGGGAUUAGAUACCCUCGUAGUCCCUGAGCGGGCUGGCAAGGCGCAU
rnacentral:rRNA from 1 species